ACUCCUACGGGAGGCAGCAGUAGGGAAUCUUCCACAAUGGGCGCAAGCCUGAUGGAGCAACACCGCGUGAGUGAAGAAGGGUUUCGGCUCGUAAAGCUCUGUUGUUAAAGAAGAACACGUAUGAGAGUAACUGUUCAUACGUUGACGGUAUUUAACCAGAAAGUCACGGCUAACUACGUGCCAGCAGCCGCGGUAAUACGUAGGUGGCAAGCGUUAUCCGGAUUUAUUGGGCGUAAAGAGAGUGCAGGCGGUUUUCUAAGUCUGAUGUGAAAGCCUUCGGCUUAACCGGAGAAGUGCAUCGGAAACUGGAUAACUUGAGUGCAGAAGAGGGUAGUGGAACUCCAUGUGUAGCGGUGGAAUGCGUAGAUAUAUGGAAGAACACCAGUGGCGAAGGCGGCUACCUGGUCUGCAACUGACGCUGAGACUCGAAAGCAUGGGUAGCGAACAGGAUUAGAUACCCUGGUAGGAUACGG
rnacentral:rRNA from 1 species